rnacentral:sRNA from 1 species
AUUCUGCCCAUGCGGGGAAGGAUGAGAAGCUUCGACCAAGGUUCGACUCGAGUGCCAGCGAGAGAGCGUUGCCGCAGGCAACGACCCGUAGGGCGAAGCGCGCAGCGCUGAGUAAUCCUUCCCCCACCACAU